rnacentral:tRNA from 1 species
ACCUGGGUGGCUCAGUUGGUUGAGCAUCUGACUUCUGCUCAGGUCACAAUCUCACGAUUUGUGGGUUCGAGCCCCAUGUCAGGCU